rnacentral:misc_RNA from 1 species
CAGAGUUAUCCAACUCCCAAACCCAUGUGAACUUAUCUCUUUGUUGCCUCGGCGCAAGCUACCCGGGACCUCGCGCCCCGGGGCGGCCCGCCGGCGGACAAACCAAAACUCUUGUUAUCUUAGUUGAUUAUCUGAGUGUCUUAUUUAAUAAGUCA